rnacentral:rRNA from 1 species
GAUGAACGCUGGCGGCGUGCCUAAUACAUGCAAGUCGAGCGAACGGACGAGAAGCUUGCUUCUCUGACGUUAGCGGCGGACGGGUGAGUAACACGUGGAUAACCUACCUAUAAGACUGGGAUAACUUCGGGAAACCGGAGCUAAUACCGGAUGAUAUUUUGAACCGCAUGGUUCAAUAGUGAAAGACGGUCUUGCUGUCACUUAUAGAUGGAUCCGCGCUGCAUUAGCUAGUUGGUAAGGUAACGGCUUACCAAGGCAACGAUGCAUAGCCGACCUGAGAGGGUGAUCGGCCACACUGGAACUGAGACACGGUCCAGACUCCUACGGGAGGCAGCAGUAGGGAAUCUUCCGCAAUGGGCGAAAGCCUGACGGAGCAACGCCGCGUGAGUGAUGAAGGUCUUCGGAUCGUAAAACUCUGUUAUUAGGGAAGAACAUAUGUGUAAGUAACUGUGCACGUCUUGACGGUACCUAAUCAGAAAGCCACGGCUAACUACGUG